ACUUAGGUAGUUUAUAAAUAAAAUUUUGAUUUGUGGUGUCAAUGAAGCAUUAGUUUGUCUUAAGUA
rnacentral:tRNA from 1 species